GACAGCCCCGUACACAAAAAUGCACAUGCUGUGAGCUCGAUGAGUAGGGCGGGACACGUGGUAUCCUGUCUGAAUAUGGGGGGACCAUCCUCCAAGGCUAAAUACUCCUGACUGACCGAUAGUGAACCAGUACCGUGAGGGAAAGGCGAAAAGAACCCCGGCGAGGGGAGUGAAAAAGAACCUGAAACCGUGUACGUACAAGCAGUGGGAGCACGCUUAGGCGUGUGACUGCGUACCUUUUGUAUAAUGGGUCAGCGACUUAUAUUCUGUAGCAAGGUUAACCGAAUAGGGGAGCCGAAGGGAAACCGAGUCUUAACUGGGCGUUAAGUUGCAGGGUAUAGACCCGAAACCCGGUGAUCUAGCCAUGGGCAGGUUGAAGGUUGGGUAACACUAACUGGAGGACCGAACCGACUAAUGUUGAAAAAUUAGCGGAUGACUUGUGGCUGGGGGUGAAAGGCCAAUCAAACCGGGAGAUAGCUGGUUCUCCCCGAAAGCUAUUUAGGUAGCGCCUCGUGAAUUCAUCUCCGGGGGUAGAGCACUGUUUCGGCAAGGGGGUCAUCCCGACUUACCAACCCGAUGCAAACUGCGAAUACCGGAGAAUGUUAUCACGGGAGACACACGGCGGGUGCUAACGUCCGUCGUGAAGAGGGAAACAACCCAGACCGCCAGCUAAGGUCCCAAAGUCAUGGUUAAGUGGGAAACGAUGUGGGAAGGCCCAGACAGCCAGGAUGUUGGCUUAGAAGCAGCCAUCAUUUAAAGAAAGCGUAAUAGCUCACUGGUCGAGUCGGCCUGCGCGGAAGAUGUAACGGGGCUAAACCAUGCACCGAAGCUGCGGCAGCGACACUAUGUGUUGUUGGGUAGGGGAGCGU
rnacentral:rRNA from 1 species